rnacentral:rRNA from 1 species
UACGUAGGGUGCGAGCGUUUGUCCGGAAUUAUUGGGCGUAAAGAGCUCGUAGGCGGUGUGUCACGUCGGCCGUGAAAACCUGCAGCUUAACUGUGGGCGUGCGGUCGAUACGGGCAUCACUGGAGUUCGCAGGGGAGACUGGAAUUCCUGGUGUAGCGGUGAAAUGCGCAGAUAUCAGGAAGAACACCGAUGGCGAAGGCAGCUCUCUGGGACGGUACUGACGCUGAGACGCGAAAGCGUGGGGAGCGAACAGG